GUGAUGUAGCCAAGUGGUAAGGCAACGGUCUGCAAAACCGUCAUUCGGCAGUUCAAAUCUGCCCAUCA
rnacentral:tRNA from 1 species